rnacentral:lncRNA from 1 species
GUUCUCCCCCCAGAUCGCAGCCUGCAGCUGAGCGCAUGGGAGAGCAGCAUUGUGGAUCGUCUGAUGACGCCCACCCUCUCCUUCCUGGCUCGGAGUCGCAGCGCGGUCACACUGCCCCGCAACGGCAGGGACCAGGCCGUGCCAGUGUGCCCGCGCUCGGCCUCCGCCAGCCCCCUGACGCCUUGUAGCGCCCCUCGGAGCGCGCACCGCUGCACCCCGUCCGGGGAGCGCCCAGAACGGCGCAAGCCCGGCGCCGGUGGCAGCCCCGCACUGGUGCGUCGCCGGCUGGAAGCCACGCCGGUGCAGAAAAAGGAGAAGAAGGACAAGGAGCGGGAAAACGAGAAGGAAAAGAGCGCCCUGGCCCGUGAACGGAACCUCAAGAA